GAGGGUAUAACUCAGUGGUAGAGUGUGUGUUUAGCAUGCACAAGGUCCUGGGCUCAAUUCCCAGCACCUCCA
rnacentral:tRNA from 1 species